CUUACACAUGCAAGUCGAGGGGCAGCGGGAUUGAAGCUUGCUUCAAUUGCCGGCGACCGGCGCACGGGUGAGUAACGCGUAUCCAACCUUCCGUACACUCAGGGAUAGCCUUUCGAAAGAAAGAUUAAUACCUGAUGGUAUGAUGAGAUUGCAUGAUAGCAUCAUUAAAGAUUCAUCGGUGUACGAUGGGGAUGCGUUCCAUUAGGUAGUAGGCGGGGUAACGGCCCACCUAGCCUACGAUGGAUAGGGGUUCUGAGAGGAAGGUCCCCCACAUUGGAACUGAGACACGGUCCAAACUCCUACGGGAGGCAGCAGUGAGGAAUAUUGGUCAAUGGACGAGAGUCUGAACCAGCCAAGUAGCGUGAAGGAUGAAGGUCCUACGGAUUGUAAACUUCUUUUAUAAGGGAAUAAAACCUCCCACGUGUGGGAGCUUGUAUGUACCUUAUGAAUAAGCAUCGGCUAACUCCGUGCCAGCAGCCGCGGUAAUACGGAGGAUGCGAGCGUUAUCCGGAUUUAUUGGGUUUAAAGGGAGCGCAGACGGGUCGUUAAGUCAGCUGUGAAAGUUUGGGGCUCAACCUUAAAAUUGCAGUUGAUACUGGCGUCCUUGAGUGCGGUUGAGGUGUGCGGAAUUCGUGGUGUAGCGGUGAAAUGCUUAGAUAUCACGAAGAACUCCGAUUGCGAAGGCAGCACACUAAGCCGUAACUGACGUUCAUGCUCGAAAGUGUGGGUAUCAAACAGGAUUAGAUACCCUGGUAGUCCACACGGUAAACGAUGGAUACUCGCUGUUGGCGAUAUACUGUCAGCGGCUUAGCGAAAGCGUUAAGUAUCCCACCUGGGGAGUACGCCGGCAACGGUGAAACUCAAAGGAAUUGACGGGGGCCCGCACAAGCGGAGGAACAUGUGGUUUAAUUCGAUGAUACGCGAGGAACCUUACCCGGGCUUAA
rnacentral:rRNA from 1 species